UUAAGCGACUAAGCGUACACGGUGGAUGCCCUGGCAGUCAGAGGCGAUGAAGGACGUGCUAAUCUGCGAUAAGCGUCGGUAAGGUGAUAUGAACCGUUAUAACCGGCGAUUUCCGAAUGGGGAAACCCAGUGUGUUUCGACACACUAUCAUUAACUGAAUCCAUAGGUUAAUGAGGCGAACCGGGGGAACUGAAACAUCUAAGUACCCCGAGGAAAAGAAAUCAACCGAGAUUCCCCCAGUAGCGGCGAGCGAACGGGGAGCAGCCCAGAGCCUGAAUCAGUGUGUGUGUUAGUGGAAGCGUCUGGAAAGGCGCGCGAUACAGGGUGACAGCCCCGUACACAAAAAUGCACAUGCUGUGAGCUCGAUGAGUAGGGCGGGACACGUGGUAUCCUGUCUGAAUAUGGGGGGACCAUCCUCCAAGGCUAAAUACUCCUGACUGACCGAUAGUGAACCAGUACCGUGAGGGAAAGGCGAAAAGAACCCCGGCGAGGGGAGUGAAAAAGAACCUGAAACCGUGUACGUACAAGCAGUGGGAGCACGCUUAGGCGUGUGACUGCGUACCUUUUGUAUAAUGGGUCAGCGACUUAUAUUCUGUAGCAAGGUUAACCGAAUAGGGGAGCCGAAGGGAAACCGAGUCUUAACUGGGCGUUAAGUUGCAGGGUAUAGACCCGAAACCCGGUGAUCUAGCCAUGGGCAGGUUGAAGGUUGGGUAACACUAACUGGAGGACCGAACCGACUAAUGUUGAAAAAUUAGCGGAUGACUUGUGGCUGGGGGUGAAAGGCCAAUCAAACCGGGAGAUAGCUGGUUCUCCCCGAAAGCUAUUUAGGUAGCGCCUCGUGAACUCAUCUCCGGGGGUAGAGCACUGUUUCGGCAAGGGGGUCAUCCCGACUUACCAACCCGAUGCAAACUGCGAAUACCGGAGAAUGUUAUCACGGGAGACACACGGCGGGUGCUAACGUCCGUCGUGAAGAGGGAAACAACCCAGACCGCCAGCUAAGGUCCCAAAGUCAUGGUUAAGUGGGAAACGAUGUGGGAAGGCCCAGACAGCCAGGAUGUUGGCUUAGAAGCAGCCAUCAUUUAAAGAAAGCGUAAUAGCUCACUGGUCGAGUCGGCCUGCGCGGAAGAUGUAACGGGGCUAAACCAUGCACCGAAGCUGCGGCAGCGACGCUUAUGCGUUGUUGGGUAGGGGAGCGUUCUGUAAGCCUGUGAAGGUGUGCUGUGAGGCAUGCUGGAGGUAUCAGAAGUGCGAAUGCUGACAUAAGUAACGAUAAAGCGGGUGAAAAGCCCGCUCGCCGGAAGACCAAGGGUUCCUGUCCAACGUUAAUCGGGGCAGGGUGAGUCGACCCCUAAGGCGAGGCCGAAAGGCGUAGUCGAUGGGAAACAGGUUAAUAUUCCUGUACUUGGUGUUACUGCGAAGGGGGGACGGAGAAGGCUAUGUUGGCCGGGCGACGGUUGUCCCGGUUUAAGCGUGUAGGCUGGUUUUCCAGGCAAAUCCGGAAAAUCAAGGCUGAGGCGUGAUGACGAGGCACUACGGUGCUGAAGCAACAAAUGCCCUGCUUCCAGGAAAAGCCUCUAAGCAUCAGGUAACAUCAAAUCGUACCCCAAACCGACACAGGUGGUCAGGUAGAGAAUACCAAGGCGCUUGAGAGAACUCGGGUGAAGGAACUAGGCAAAAUGGUGCCGUAACUUCGGGAGAAGGCACGCUGAUAUGUAGGUGAAGUCCCUCGCGGAUGGAGCUGAAAUCAGUCGAAGAUACCAGCUGGCUGCAACUGUUUAUUAAAAACACAGCACUGUGCAAACACGAAAGUGGACGUAUACGGUGUGACGCCUGCCCGGUGCCGGAAGGUUAAUUGAUGGGGUCAGCGCAAGCGAAGCUCUUGAUCGAAGCCCCGGUAAACGGCGGCCGUAACUAUAACGGUCCUAAGGUAGCGAAAUUCCUUGUCGGGUAAGUUCCGACCUGCACGAAUGGCGUAAUGAUGGCCAGGCUGUCUCCACCCGAGACUCAGUGAAAUUGAACUCGCUGUGAAGAUGCAGUGUACCCGCGGCAAGACGGAAAGACCCCGUGAACCUUUACUAUAGCUUGACACUGAACAUUGAGCCUUGAUGUGUAGGAUAGGUGGGAGGCUUAGAAGUGUGGACGCCAGUCUGCAUGGAGCCGACCUUGAAAUACCACCCUUUAAUGUUUGAUGUUCUAACGUUGACCCGUAAUCCGGGUUGCGGACAGUGUCUGGUGGGUAGUUUGACUGGGGCGGUCUCCUCCUAAAGAGUAACGGAGGAGCACGAAGGUUGGCUAAUCCUGGUCGGACAUCAGGAGGUUAGUGCAAUGGCAUAAGCCAGCUUGACUGCGAGCGUGACGGCGCGAGCAGGUGCGAAAGCAGGUCAUAGUGAUCCGGUGGUUCUGAAUGGAAGGGCCAUCGCUCAACGGAUAAAAGGUACUCCGGGGAUAACAGGCUGAUACCGCCCAAGAGUUCAUAUCGACGGCGGUGUUUGGCACCUCGAUGUCGGCUCAUCACAUCCUGGGGCUGAAGUAGGUCCCAAGGGUAUGGCUGUUCGCCAUUUAAAGUGGUACGCGAGCUGGGUUUAGAACGUCGUGAGACAGUUCGGUCCCUAUCUGCCGUGGGCGCUGGAGAACUGAGGGGGGCUGCUCCUAGUACGAGAGGACCGGAGUGGACGCAUCACUGGUGUUCGGGUUGUCAUGCCAAUGGCACUGCCCGGUAGCUAAAUGCGGAAGAGAUAAGUGCUGAAAGCAUCUAAGCACGAAACUUGCCCCGAGAUGAGUUCUCCCUGACUCCUUGAGAGUCCUGAAGGAACGUUGAAGACGACGACGUUGAUAGGCCGGGUGUGUAAGCGCAGCGAUGCGUUGAGCUAACCGGUACUAAUGAACCGUGAGGCUUAACCUU
rnacentral:rRNA from 2 species